rnacentral:rRNA from 1 species
CUCAGGACGAACGCUGGCGGCGUGCUUAACACAUGCAAGUCGAACGGACCUUCGGGUUAGUGGCGAACGGGUGAGUAACACGUGGGUGAUCUGCCCUGCACUUUGGGAUAAGCCUGGGAAACUGGGUCUAAUACCGAAUAGGACCACGGCAUUCAUGUGCUGUGGUGGAAAGCUUUUGCGGUGUGGGAUGGGCCCGCGGCCUAUCAGCUUGUUGGUGGGGUAAUGGCCUACCAAGGCGACGACGGGUAGCCGGCCUGAGAGGGUGACCGGCCACACUGGGACUGAGAUACGCCCCAGACUCCUACGGGAGGCAGCAGUGGGGAAUAUUGCACAAUGGGCGCAAGCCUGAUGCAGCGACGCCGCGUGAGGGAUGACGGCCUUCGGGUUGUAAACCUCUUUCGCCAGGGACGAAGCGCAAGUGACGGUACCUGGAGAAGAAGGACCGGCCAACUACGUGCCAGCAGCCGCGGUAAUACGUAGGGUCCGAGCGUUGUCCGGAAUUACUGGGCGUAAAGAGCUCGUAGGUGGUUUGUCGCGUUGUUCGUGAAAACUCACAACUCAAUUGUGGGCGUGCGGGCGAUACGGGCAGACUGGAGUACUGCAGGGGAGACUGGAAUUCCUGGUGUAGCGGUGGAAUGCGCAGAUAUCAGGAGGAACACCGGUGGCGAAGGCGGGUCUCUGGGCAGUAACUGACGCUGAGGAGCGAAAGCGUGGGGAGCGAACAGGAUUAGAUACCCUGGUAGUCCACGCCGUAAACGGUGGGUACUAGGUGUGGGUUUCCUUCCUUGGGAUCCGUGCCGUAGCUAACGCA